rnacentral:rRNA from 1 species
UACGUAGGUGGCAAGCGUUGUCCGGAUUUACUGGGCGUAAAGAGCGCGCAGGCGGUCGUUCAAGUCGCGUGUGAAAGCCCCCGGCUCAACUGGGGAGGGUCACGCGAUACUGAUCGACUCGAAGGCAGGAGAGGGUAGUGGAAUUCCCGGUGUAGCGGUGAAAUGCGUAGAGAUCUGGAGGAACACUGAUGGCGAAGGCAGCCUUCUGGGCCAACACUGACGCUCAUGCACGAAAGCGUGGGGAGCAAACAGG